GAAUCCCGUCUUUGGCACGGAUGCCUGGUGCUUCUGUGAUGCGCUCUCGAAGAGUCGAGUUGUUUGGGAAUGCAGCUCAAAAUGGGUGGUGAACUCCAUCUAAAGCUAAAUAUUGGCGAGAGACCGAUAGCGAACAAGUACCGUGAGGGAAAGAUGAAAAGCACUUUGGAAAGAGAGUGAAACAGUACGUGAAAUUGUUGAAAGGGAAACGCUUGAAGUCAGUCGCGUCGACCGAGACUCAGCCUCGCCUUGGCUUGGUGUACUUCUCGGCACGACGGGUCAGCAUCAAUUUUGCCCCUCGGAUAAUGGCAGGGGAAAGGUGGCACCUUUACGGGUGUGUUAUAGUCUUCUGUCGCAUGCGAGGGGUGGGAUUGAGGAACUCAGCGCGCACCUCAGUGUCGGGGCUUCGGCCCACGUCACGCGCUUAGGAUGCUGGCGUAAUGGCUUUAAACGACCCGUCUUGAAACACGGACCAAGGAGUCCAACACGCCCGCGAGUGUUCGGGUGGAAAACCCGUGCGCGUAAUGAAAGUGAAAGUUGGGACCUCUGUCGUGGAGGGCACCGACGCCCGGACCAGACCUUCUGUGACGGAUCUGCGGUAGAGCGUGUGUGUUGGGACCCGAAAGAUGGUGAACUAUGCCUGAAUAGGGUGAAGCCAGAGGAAACUCUGGUGGAGGCUCGUAGCGAUUCUGACGUGCAAAUCGAUCGUCAAAUUUGGGUAUAGGGGCGAAAGACUAAUCGAACCAUCUAGUAGCUGGUUCCUGCC
rnacentral:rRNA from 1 species